CUGUGGUAGCGUCAUAAAGCCAUAACAAAUGAGACUUCCAUCAAAAACAUAUUUUUUUUUCAAAUAUUAGAGCAUAGAAAUGUUUUAAGAGAAUGUUUUUUUCCAAUAUUUGUUGAAUUGUUUCUCACAAACUCUAAAGUCUUGUAUCCUGGGAUGGCAGAAAGCUGCUUGGCACGUCUGAAAUGUGAGAGGUGGAUAAUUCCACCACAGGCGUCUUAGAGGCACCAGCAAAGGCGGAGAUGGAAGCAGGCCGCCCCGCCAGCUGAAGCUGUGGGACGGAACUUCGAGUUUAGACAACUGCUUAUCCUCACAAGGGGGCACGGGAGUGCUGAAACCUAUCCUAGUUGUCAACGGGCAGGAGGCGAGGUACACCCUGAACUGAUUGCCAUCCAAUCGCAGGGCACCUGAAGACAGACAUCAGUUGCACUCACAAUCACACCAAGGUGAAAUUUAGAGUGUCCAAUUAAUGUUGCAUGUUUUUGGGAUGUGAGAGGAAACCAGAAUGUCUGGA